CCUGCGGCUGGAAGUAAAGAAUCACAGAAUCCCAGGUUGAAGGGACCUCAAGGAUCAUCUACUCCAACCUUUCUAGUCAAAGCAUGACUUAGACUAGAUGCCCAGCACCCUGUGCAGCCCAAUCUUAACAGUGUCCAAUGUUGGGGAGUCACCACU